rnacentral:rRNA from 1 species
ACCCCUGUGAGGGGAGUGAAAUAGAACCUGAAACCGUGUACGUACAAGCAGUAGGAGCAGGCUUUGUCCUGUGACUGCGUACCUUUUGUAUAAUGGGUCAGCGACUUAUAUUCAGUGGCAAGGUUAACCAUCUAGGGGAGCCGUAGGGAAACCGAGUCUUAACUGGGCGUUCAGUCUCUGGAUAUAGACCCGAAACCAGGUGAUCUAGCCAUGGGCAGGUUGAAGGUUGAGUAACAUCAACUGGAGGACCGAACCGACUAAUGUUGAAAAAUUAGCGGAUGACUUGUGGCUAGGGGUGAAAGGCCAAUCAAACCUGGAGAUAGCUGGUUCUCCCCGAAAGCUAUUUAGGUAGCGCCUCGGACGAAUACUACUGGGGGUAGAGCACUGUUAAGGCUAGGGGGUCAUCCCGACUUACCAACCCUUUGCAAACUCCGAAUACCAGUAAGUACUAUCCGGGAGACACACGGCGGGUGCUAACGUCCGUCGUGGAGAGGGAAACAACCCAGACCGCCAGCUAAGGUCCCAAAUUACUACUAAGUGGGAAACGAUGUGGGAAGGCUCAGACAGCCAGGAUGUUGGCUUAGAAGCAGCCAUCAUUUAAAGAAAGCGUAAUAGCUCACUGGUCGAGUCGGCCUGCGCGGAAGAUGUAACGGGGCUAAGUAGUAAACCGAAGCUGCGGCAAUGUGCUUUUGCACAUUGGGUAGGGGAGCGUUCUGUAAGCGGUUGAAGGUGUGUGGUAACGCAUGCUGGACGUAUCAGAAGUGCGAAUGCUGACAUGAGUAACGAUAAAGGGGGUGAAAAACCUCCUCGCCGGAAGACCAAGGGUUCCUGUCCAACGUUAAUCGGGGCAGGGUAAGUCGACCCCUAAGGCGAGGCCGAAAGGCGUAGUCGAUGGGAAACGGGUUAAUAUUCCCGUACUUCUUACAAUUGCGAUGGGGGGACGGAGAAGGCUAGGUGGGCCUGGCGACGGUUGUCCAGGUUCAAGUGCGUAGGCUUAAGAGUUAGGUAAAUCCGGCUCUUUUUAAGGCUGAGACACGACGUCGAGCAUCUACGGAUGUGAAGUCAUUGAUGCCAUGCUUCCAGGAAAAGCCUCUAAGCUUCAGAUUGUAAGGAAUCGUACCCCAAACCGACACAGGUGGUCGGGUAGAGAAUACCAAGGCGCUUGAGAGAACUCGGGUGAAGGAACUAGGCAAAAUGGUACCGUAACUUCGGGAGAAGGUACGCUCUCGACGGUGAAGUCCCUCGCGGAUGGAGCUAUUGAGAGUCGCAGAUACCAGGUGGCUGCAACUGUUUAUUAAAAACACAGCACUGUGCAAAAUCGUAAGAUGACGUAUACGGUGUGACGCCUGCCGGUGCCGGAAGGUUAAUUGAUGGGGUUAGACUUCGGUCGAAGCUCUUGAUCGAAGCCCCGGUAAACGGCGGCCGUAACUAUAACGGUCCUAAGGUAGCGAAAUUCCUUGUCGGGUAAGUUCCGACCUGCACGAAUGGCGUAAUGAUGGCCACGCUGUCUCCACCCGAGACUCAGUGAAAUUGAAAUCGCUGUGAAGAUGCAGUGUACCCGCGGCUAGACGGAAAGACCCCGUGAACCUUUACUACAGCUUGGCACUGAACAUUGACCCUACAUGUGUAGGAUAGGUGGGAGGCUUUGAAGCACGUACGCCAGUAUGUGUGGAGCCGUCCUUGAAAUACCACCCUUGUAGUGUUGAUGUUCUAACGUCGACCCCUUAUCGGGGUUGCGGACAGUGCCUGGUGGGUAGUUUGACUGGGGCGGUCUCCUCCCAAAGAGUAACGGAGGAGCACGAAGGUGGGCUAAUCACGGUUGGACAUCGUGAGGUUAGUGCAAUGGCAUAAGCCCGCUUGACUGCGAGAAUGACAAUUCGAGCAGGUGCGAAAGCAGGUCAUAGUGAUCCGGUGGUUCUGAAUGGAAGGGCCAUCGCUCAACGGAUAAAAGGUACUCCGGGGAUAACAGGCUGAUACCGCCCAAGAGUUCAUAUCGACGGCGGUGUUUGGCACCUCGAUGUCGGCUCAUCACAUCCUGGGGCUGAAGUCGGUCCCAAGGGUAUGGCUGUUCGCCAUUUAAAGUGGUACGCGAGCUGGGUUUAGAACGUCGUGAGACAGUUCGGUCCCUAUCUGCCGUGGGCGUUGGAAGAUUGAAGGGGGCUGCUCCUAGUACGAGAGGACCGGAGUGGACGAACCUCUGGUGUUCGGGUUGUGUCGCCAGACGCAUUGCCCGGUAGCUAAGUUCGGAAUCGAUAACCGCUGAAAGCAUCUAAGCGGGAAGCGAGCCCUGAGAUGAGUCUUCCCUGAUACUUUAAGUAUCCUAAAGGGUUGUCGGAGACUACGACGUUGAUAGGUCAGGUGUGUAAGUGCUGUGAGGCAUUGAGCUAACUGAUACUAAUUGCCCGUGAGGCUUAACCAUACAACACCCAAGGGGUUU